UUCCUACGGGAGGCAGCAGGCACGAAACCUUUACAAUGCACGAAAGUGCGAUAGGGGGACUCCGAGUGCGUUCUUCCCACAAGGAAGGGCGCUUUUCUGUACUGUAAGGAGGUACAGGAACAAGGGGUGGGCAAGACUGCUGCCAGCCGCCGCGGUAAUAGCAGCACCCCAAGUGGUAGCCAUUAUUAUUGGGCUUAAAGUGUUCGUAGCCUGCCGUGUAAGUCCGCUGUGAAACCCACGCGCUCAACGUGUGGAUGCGCCGCGGAUACUGCAUGGCUAGGGACCGGACGGCGUCGAGGCUAUUCCAGGAGUAGGAGUGAAAUCCAAAAAUUCCUGGAGGAGCACCUGUGGCGAAAGCGCUCGACGAGUACGGAUCCGACGGUGAGGAACGAAAGCCGGGGGAGCAAAGGGGAUUAGAUACCCUCGUAGUCCCGGCCGUAAACAAUGUGCGUUUGAUGUCGGCUAACCUCCGUGGUUAGCCGGUGCCGAAGAAAAAUCGUUAAACGCACCGCCUGGGUAGUACGGUCGCAAGGCUGAAACUCAAAGGAAU
rnacentral:rRNA from 1 species